rnacentral:lncRNA from 1 species
AAUUAGCUUAACUUUGCAUUUUGACUCCGACUCUGUAUACCUUUCAGAUCAUUGCUCUUAGAUCAGUAUGAACUCUGGCCUAACCUGACUUGGCAUGGAAUGGUAGGAAUAUUUGCUACCAUUCUGCAGGACAUUUUGAGCUCAUUGCGGUGGAACGUGCAGGCCAGCGGAACCCUGGGUAUUUGUUUAAAGGAAGCAGGAUGGGAAGGGCGAAUGGCGUUUUCAAAUCUGUCUAGGUUCAGUCUCUUCAUCUACAAAGGGCUUUCCUUUGAGUCAUAUGACCCGAAUGUGAACAAGAUCAACUCUAAUUCUUUCUCCAUGAGACAACUGUCCCCAGGACCUGCUGGCUUCUAA